rnacentral:rRNA from 1 species
CCCUUAGAUGUCCUGGGCCGCACGCGCGUUACACUGAUGCAUUCAACGAGCUUAUAACCUUGGCCGAGAGGCCUGGGCAAUCUUGUUAACGUGCAUCGUGAUAGGGAUAGAUUAUUGAAAUUAUUAAUCUUGAACGAGGAAUUCCUAGUAAACGCAGAUCAUCAAUCUGCAUUGAUUACGUCCCUGCCCUUUGUACACACCGCCCGUCGCACCUACCGAUUGGAUGGUCCGGUGAAGCCUCGGGAUGAGGACUGGUGCCUUUAUUGGCAUGAGUUGUUCAGAACUUGUCUAAACCUUAUCAUCUAGAGGAAGGUGAAGUCGUAACA